ensembl:lncRNA
UUGGACGCCCGACCUUUGACCUGAAGUUCAGAGAGACGAGAGGAAACAGCAGAGAGAAAGUUCACAUUGAGACACACGUUCAGCCAGUUGUGAGAACAGAGACGAGGAUCACGGAGCUUCACAGCUUCAUGGAUCAGAUUCAUACGAUGAAGAGAAAUAUGAAAAUAACAGAGAUCCAUUUGAAGAUGGUUACAUGAUUUACAAAAACAAUGUAUUUUUGGAUUGGACUGAUUUUAAUGUUCAUUGAAAACAACAAACUAAAAUACAUGAACAUGACAACAAUAUGUUCACAGAAAUGCAAAUUAAAAGUUGUUUGAAAUGAAACUGAACUCAAGUUGCCAGAGUUUAAUAAACAAACAGAAAACCUCUUAAUCAAAUGAAAGACAACUUAAUGAAGUUAAGAGUUAAAUAAUGUUUCCUGUUAAGUUAAAAUCCAGCUGUUGUGUUGUGAGCAGCUGCAGAAACAUUUUUACAGCUGAUAAAGCAAAAGACAACAGACUAAAAUAAAAUAAUAAACCCUUUCAAAACAAAUAUAAUCAGAGAAAUGAAGCAAAUAUUUUCUUUUUCUUAUGAAUUCUCAACACGUUUGACCUGUGACAUGACAGAGAACGAUUGAUCAAUAUUGGACCUCAGCAGCCCAAUGAAGGACAACAUCUGGCUCCACAUCAGCAGCUGGGACACCAUGAAGAUGGUGGUGGAGCUGAUCUGCAGACGUGUUGCUCAAACUCCACCAGCAGGUCUCAUGUUUUCAUAGUUCACUGUGUCAUCUUCUGCAUCAUAACGCACCUAAACAACACAAUCAAAGCCACACUUUACACCCCCACCUCUCUGACGUGCUCCACCCUCCAUGUAGCAUCCACCUUGCGGUUCCCCCUCAUGUGGACACUGUGAGCUCAGUCGCUAAGUGUUAGCUCUGCUAGCAUUGGUGGGCCGUUAGCACCGUUAGCUGCUAGAAGCUCUAAAGCGACUCGUGAUGGAGUGAAGAAAUACUGCAGAUAAGAACGUCAUGAAGCGAUGAAG